UUUAAUUGAAUCUACCAAAGAAAACAAAAAUUGACCAGCCUGGCCAAACGCAAGUUGGGGAAUCGGGCUUCUAAGGGCCGGGGUUAAGGUGCUUAAACCGAUCGAAACGGUUCCGAGUCUAAUACAUUCCGGCCCGAUGAUGGAACCAGGCUCCAAAAAUUUUGGCCUGUUCCCGCCCUUUGACACCCAUAAAAUUCAGGAUCUAAUUAUGUAUAUGUAAUAGAACUAACUAUAGAUGAACUCUUUUGAAAGUGUGGCUAUGUGAUUAUGUGUUAUUCUGAGUUUUCAAGUCUAAUAAUCUCCCUCUCUCUUUUUUUUUAUACUUUAUACUUAGUAUAGAGAAUAUUAUUCAGAUGAAGAAUCAGCAGAGGAAGAUAUGGUUGAAGCAGAUUGGAGCGCUGGAAACUAAUGUUUCUAUUGCAUCUUUUGAGGACUUUACCAAAUCUAUAAGGAAGCAACAUAAGAAAAAACUGAACGCUAGGUAACUGCAUGCUUGGCUAAAGAAUGACUAGUAAAUUUCCCUCAAGAUCUACUUGUGUAAGAGAACUAACUGUGUGGGAAAGACUUUUUGAGGGGAGAAUUUCUUCUACAAUUAACAUCAGUAUUCUCCUAUAGUAUCACUACUUUGGUCGAAACAUUUGUUCUUUAAAUGUUGGGAUAUUUGAUGAUACAAGUCUGUUCGAAAGUGGCACAUUAUUGUUUGCAAAGAAAAUAAAAUUGUGCCCUUACAUCUAUAAUAAACAGGGGAACUUUUUUAACAAUGGUCUUCUGGUUGAAGUUAGAUAUAUAUGUUAAAUCUUUUAAAGCAUGUCAUUAUGUAUUAUGUGUUCUGUCGAGUUUCCAACUCUAAUAAUCUCUUAUUCUUGUAAUGGUCAUUUUACAGAGUUAGAUUCAGAUGAAGAAGGAGCAGAGGGAGAUGUGGAGAAGAAAAAGAUCCAGAGGAAGACUUGAGCAAAUGAGUUUUAAGGUAGACUUGUGACGGAAGGUAGACUG
rnacentral:lncRNA from 1 species